rnacentral:lncRNA from 1 species
AUGGAGGGAGAAGGGGGAAGGAAUUUGGCCCCGCUAAAAAUAGCGGGCGCGCAGCCCCGGUGGUGCCGCAGGCCGGGCUGGAGACCCCCGGCCCGGGGCUGCUCCUGCCCUCGGGGCAGGGGAGGUGCGGGUGAGCCCUGGGGAGUUCCCAGCCCUGAGCAUGCUGCCUCCCCCUGGGGGUUGCUCGGCUCUGUCCGGUCUUGGAGAAGCCCCCACCCCCUCCAUAAGCAGUCUGUUGGGAAAGGGGGUGUCAGUCUGCCCUACCGGGGGCUCCCCCGGGCGUUUCGCGGCUCUCCCCUCCCAGCACUUUUAUUUUGGGCUCUGCCGAGCGGGGCCGGGCUCCCCGGGGCUGCAUCGGGUUUCUCCCGGCCGCCCUCCCCGCGGGGCAGAGGCCGGGAGCCGCGCUCCUUCCCCCGACGGCGGCCCGCUCCUAGGAGGUCUCGUCCCGCAGAGGAGGAGGGGGCCGGGGCGGGGUGGGCAGCGCCUUUCUCGCUAAGAGGACCCCCCCUCCCGCACGCACGCUGCCCCCCGCCCGAGGUUUCCGUGGGUCCAGCCGGAAUCCGCGCCGCUCCCGGGGCUUCCCCCCCCCAAGCUGGGGUCUAUGAGCGGGAAGGUGAUCAAGCCCAAAGAAGAGAAAGAUGCUUCCAAGGGAAAAUAACAUUUUUGCUCAAGCUGCAUGAAAACUAUUGGGAUUUGAUGAGUUGAGCUGUUUGUGAUCCUGAAUCCAGAAUGAUG